rnacentral:rRNA from 1 species
CCUACGGGUGGCAGCAGUCGAGAAUCAUUCACAAUGGGGGAAACCCUGAUGGUGCGACGCCGCGUGGGGGAAUGAAGGUCUUCGGAUUGUAAACCCCUGUCAUGUGGGAGCAAAUUAAAAAGAUAGUACCACAAGAGGAAGAGACGGCUAACUCUGUGCGAGCAGCCACGGUAAUACAGAGGUGUCAAUCGUUGUUCGGAAUCACUGGGCGUAAAGCGUGCGUAGGCUGUUUCGUAAGGCGGGUGUGAAAGGCGCGGGCUCAACCCGCGGACGGCACAUGAUACUGCGAGACUAGAGUAAGGGAGGGGGAACCGGAAUGCUCGGUGUAGCAGUGAAAUGCGUAGAUAUCGAGCGGAACACUCGUGGCGAAGGCGGGUUCCUGGACAUUCACUGACGCUGAGGCACGAAGGCCAGGGGAGCGAAAGGGAUUAGAUACCCGGGUAGUC